rnacentral:rRNA from 1 species
CCUACGGGUGGCAGCAGGGGGGAAUAUUGGGCAAUGGGCGAAAGCCUGACCCAGCAACGCCGCGUGAAGGAAGAAGGCGUUCGGGUGGUAAACUUCUGUUCGGAGGGACGAAGAAAGGGACGGUACAUCAGGAAUAAGCCACGGCUAACUACGUGCCAGCAGCCGCGGGAAUACGUAGGGGGCAAGGGUGAUCCGGAUUUAUUGGGUGUAAAGGGCGGGUAGGCGGGAAAGCAAGGCAGAUGUGAAAACUCAGGGCUCAACCCUGAGCCUGCAUUUGAAACUUUUUGUCUUGAGUGCUGGAGCGUCAAUCGGAAUUCCGUGUGUAGCGGUGCCCUGCGUAGCUCUCCGGAGGAACCCCAGUGGCGCAGGCGGCUUGCUGGACUGUAACUGCCGCU